GAUGAACGCUGGCGGCGUACCUAAUACAUGCAAGUCGAGCGAACAGACGAGGAGCUUGCUCCUCUGACGUUAGCGGCGGACGGGUGAGUAACACGUGGAUAACCUACCUAUAAGACUGGGAUAACUUCGGGAAACCGGAGCUAAUACCGGAUAAUAUAUUGAACCGCAUGGUUCAAUAGUGAAAGACGGUUUUGCUGUCACUUAUAGAUGGAUCCGCGCCGCAUUAGCUAGUUGGUAAGGUAACGGCUUACCAAGGCGACGAUGCGUAGCCGACCUGAGAGGGUGAUCGGCCACACUGGAACUGAGACACGGUCCAGACUCCUACGGGAGGCAGCAGUAGGGAAUCUUCCGCAAUGGGCGAAAGCCUGACGGAGCAACGCCGCGUGAGUGAUGAAGGUCUUCGGAUCGUAAAACUCUGUUAUUAGGGAAGAGCAAAUGUGUAAGUAACUAUGCACGUCUUGACGGUACCUAAUCAGAAAGCCACGGCUAACUACGUG
rnacentral:rRNA from 1 species